GAGGGUAUAGCUCAAGUGGUAGAGUGCCUUCUCAGCAUGUAUGAGGUCCUGGGUUCAAUCCCCAGUACCUCCA
rnacentral:tRNA from 1 species